rnacentral:rRNA from 1 species
CGCAUCUGUGCAUGCAGCAUAUCAAUAAGCGGAGGAAAAGAAACUAACAAGGAUUCCCCUAGUAACGGCGAGUGAAGCGGGAAGAGCUCAAAUUUGAAAUCUUAAAGGGUUUCCCUUUACGAAUUGUAGUUUAAAGAAGUGUUUUCUGUUGAGGUUUUGGUAAAAGUUCUUUGGAAUAGGACAUCAUAGAGGGUGAGAAUCCCGUAUUUGACCUUUACUUUCAACUUUGCGAUACACUUUCAAAGAGUCGGAUUGUUUGGGAAUGCAGUCCAAAAUGGGUGGUAAAUUUCAUCUAAAGCUAAAUAUUGGCGAGAGACCGAUAGCGAACAAGUACCGUGAGGGAAAGGUGAAAAGAACUUUGAAAAGAGAGUUAAACAGUACGUGAAAUUGUCAAAAGGGAGGCGUUUGACACCAGUGUUGUUUUUCUGAAAAUCAAUUAAAGAACUGUUUAUGCUAAGUUGUUUAGACUUUAUCAGCUAACUGUUUAGUUUUGAGCUUUUCUUUAAUGCACUUUUCAGUUAACAAGUCAACAUCAAUUUCUUUUGCUGUAAAAAAGCUUGAGGAAGGUGGCUUGAGAUUCGUCUUAAGCGUUUAUAGCCUCUUGCCUAUGCAGUCGGAGAGAUUGAGGUCUGCAGCGUAGAUCCUUCGGGGCUAAAUGCAUUUGUGCUAAGUUAUAGCAUUUUAUAGACAACUUGUUGACUAUGAUUUGUCUUGUAGCUUACUCGCUUAUGUUAUUUUACCUACGCUUAGGAUGUUGACAGCAGUAUAGACUGU